UAUCAAACUGAAAAAUUCACAGGAUAGUAUAGUAACGAUAAUAUUUAAUGAUAUUUGACAGAGAAAAAAUAAAUAGCAAAAUAUAAGAGACUGUCUAUUUCCUCUAAAUAUUAAUUGUUGUUUUCCCUAAUUGGGUUAAUCAAAGUUCCUUAAUAUUUCAAGCUUUUUUGGUUUGUGGUUUUUGUUUUGUUUUUUUUUUAAUUCUUCACUUAAGAAAUUUUUUUCUGGUUAUUUUAUAGCAGCUUGUUUUACAGUUUACUAAUUCACUCUCUAUAUAAAACACCAUUGGUGCUGUUUUAUUUUUAUUUUAAAUAUACAGCAACUUUAAAAAAAAAUAUAGGGCAUACCUUAAUGUUUGGUGUCUGUUUACAUUUUCUGUAAUGUAGUCAUUAAGCAUACAACGUAGACUUAAAGGAUGUCAAAACUGACAACCACACUAUGAUUGAUGAUGCUGUGCUAGACUAAUUCUUACCAGGUGUGGUGUGAUGUGAAUUCAAAUGCAGCUCAGGGUUCUUAUUUGUAUUAGUAAAGUUGUGCUUUGUCAAAGUUCUGUGACUUCUUAACCCACUAAAUCCAUCUUCUAAUCCAAGUUUUUCUUCGCCUUUUUGCUGUAUACAAUAUUUUUUUCCCUCUUUCUCAGCAAAGCAAUCCUUAUGACUUCGUCUUCAGCCAGGGUUUCUUAAGACAUCCAGUUUGUGCAAAUUCCAGAAAAUACCAAGUCUGAUGAGGUUAUGUUAAUUAAGUGUAAAAUCUACAUAAAGGCUUCCUAAGUGACUUGAGCUAGGGUAGGCGAAAUUAUGAAGGAUGAAAUUCACUCCAUCAGCAUAAAGCAUAAACAGGAAGCUUUAUGUGGAGAAGCAAUAAAAUACAAGAUCUUCAACCAGAAAAAGGGCUACAGCACAGACUUCUUUGGUCCCUACAGAAAUUGUCUUCAUUGUCAUCCCUUGUCACUUGCAGAACAUGAUGAGGCAGCUUCAAGUUAUUAUGUCUUGUUAAAUGUCAGAUGUAAAUAUUGGGUGCCUGCACCGCACCACUGAACAACAAAUAAACUUUUAUGAGGUAGCAGAGAGUGCUGGACCUAAAGUUUUAGGCUUUUUUUUUUUUUCCCUCUCUCUCCUUUCUCCCCCUUCGCUCUCCUACAUUUUUGAUUUAGACUUUACUGGCACAUUGUCAUCAGCUGGAUCACUCACUGUCAAGCCAAAUGUCCAGCACCUUUGGUAGCAGAGAACUGUGUUGACCUGGGGUGGGCAAUUGAAUUGUAUCUUUUUGUUUUCUGGCUGAGUGAUCUAUCCUGCUUGACUGUGUUUAUCUUGGUUAUAUUUUAUUAACAAAAGGUAUUGAUCUUGCAAGCAGAGCCUCAAGGAAGGAGAAAAAUUCUUCAGAGUCCAAUUUACCUCAACAGGCAAAUAAUCUAAAAAUUUAUAUAAUCUGAUUGAACAAAUCAUAACAAACCACAUCAAAUGCUUCAAAUGUUAUGCUGCAUGAAAUGAAAGCACCUAUUACCCCUCACCACUACCUCCCCCUUUCCCUCACCAAGCCCUAUUUCACUCAGGUCUAAUUUUAAGUGAUUGCUUUCUCAUGCAAAUAUCCAUUGAUUUGAAUGAGAUUUUGCAAGGGUAAGGGCUGAGCAAAGACUUUGGGAUGUGAUCUUCAGAGAAAAACCCAACCCCUUCUUUUUAUGGAUACAGAGAGUCACUGUACAGGAAAGUUAUUGUACUAUUACUGCACAAAAGUAGUGGAAGGAGGGCCAGCAUGCGAGAAGGUGACAUAUGCAAUCAGUCUGCAAGGGUCUGACAGGCUCUGCUUGCAGAAGCACCAGUGUAGGGGGAGGGGGAAGGCAGAGGCUUUGGGCAUCCCCUAGAUUACUCAGAUGUUUCUCUCCAGGAUUACUUUGAAAUACACUGAAGACCUCUUUAUUGAAAUACACUGGCAAAGCAUGGGGAAGAAUAAAAGGAAGAGGCAGGCAGUUCCAGAUCCUUUCAUCCCCACAGGAGUUACAGAGGUGGAAGAAAAACUGCAUGGAGCAGAAGAGACAUAAGUGGGUUUAAGCAGAGGGCUCUUAAGAGGAAUUAUCUCUGAACGUUAUGUGCUGGCCAACAAAGUACGACUGAUAACUUCCAAGGCCAUUGUGGACCUAAAAUGCUAGCAGUGGUCAAAGGAAAUAAAGACUUUUAUUAGGGGUCCCUAUGUAUCAUUUUCCUGCUGCGGGAUUACACUGCCAGCCCUGCAGAGGGAGAUUUAGCUGGGUAAUUCUCAUUAAGGGGCAAACCUCUCUGACUUCUCCAGGUGCUUUGCCUGAUUAACUGCUGAAGAACCAGGCCCUAUGGUUGGCCCAGCUGAGCUCUAGCCUGUCUGCCUUUAUGCAAGAAAAAGCUUCACAUAUCAGCUCCAGCUCAUGCUGAGGAGUCUUAGUAGGCAUUCUAAUCCUAAGGGGAAACAUUUCAUUGCAAUGCACAGCGAUUUGCAUUCUUUCUCAGAACUCUGCUGUUACAUUAUCCAUUUUUAUCUUGAUUAAAAGAGAUCAAGAAGUGCAUGCUCACACACUACACAUGCAGUUUUUCCAUACAGGAGGCCUGGAACCCACACUGAAAUUCUGACUCGAGGAGCUCUGGCAACUUCCAACUCUUGAUGGAUUUAUGCUGUUUUAAUAAUAGUCCCAAUUUAUUGAUAAUUAACAAGGAGGGAAGUUACCAGGAUUUUUGUUGUUGUUGGGUUUCUAAGAUAUUCAAGUGUUUUCAGAAGUAUCCAAUGCUGAAGACUUAAACACUGCGAGAGCUCUGAGUCUGUGAGGAUGAUUUUAAUGGUACUACAGAAGGUUAACCUAUGGUACUAGUUACUGCCACAAACAAACAGGGAACUGAAGAUAUACGGGCACAAGGGAAAUUCCAGAAGGCAGGCAUGAAAUUGUCCAAGUGUCCAUGCCUCUAGUUUAUAGUCUGUAUUACAUAAUUCAUCUCCAACAUCUUCCCUCUGGGACUGCCCUGGAAAAAUAACUACAAAAAGCAGGGCAGGGCAGGUAUAUAAGUAGCAAAAUGCUCCUUCUGUUCUAUGCAAAACCAUGGACAGUGUUUGAAUCCCUCCAUCCUUACCUUUACCCUUUCUAAAAAGAUUAGGGCACAUGGAGCAAGAACUAAUCCCUGCAACACCACUGUCAUUUUUUGGGAAUUGGUGUUUCCCAAUGUUUAGUGUUCCACAAAUAAAAUGUGAAAAAUUACUCUUUGGCUCAAAGGAAACAGGAAGACAAGUACAUUGUAGAGUAAAUGGUAGUGAGGUACUGCAAGGGCCUAAAUGAGGUGCCUAGAACAGGGUGAUGGCAUAGUAUAAAAUUGAUCUGAAUAUGAAAAUUAGAAAACAUUUAUGCAAGAAGUUGAAUGUCUCAACUAAUAGCAAGGUAAACCAAUGACCUGGCAUUGGCAACGUUGCCUGUUUUCUAUAAUAGAUUACUCAAAAAAAUUGAUUUUGGCUAAAAGUCACAUAUUUCCUCAGAGAUAAGUCUGUCUUCCUCUCCAAACAUUGCCUUUCUAGCUUUGGCCUGAAUGUUUUGGGUGGAGAUUUUUAUACAUAGGCACAUGGAGCAAAAGAUCCAGGCCAGAAAAAAAGGUAGAGAGGUGAAAAUCUCCAAUUAAUUUUACAUCUCUUGUUCUACAUUUUUCAAUGAGUGAGAAGUAACAGUUUUGAGGCGCUUACUCUAAUGAGGUACUCAAAUCAACAAUACAUAUCCACACAGGAAUUAGUAAAUGAAUAUAUCUGGAGAGAAUCUGGUUUCACAAAAGCAGCUUGACCUGCCCAAAUGAACUACUAAAGAAGGAGUCUUUGUGCUUUUGUAAGAUGGAUUUUCUGCUUGCUAUUGCCACUUCAAAAACCUAACAAACCUUUUUGGUCCAAAACUAGCUGUGUGUGUGUCCAAAUACACAGAUAGUAGUUAUCUGUGUGUGGCAUUUUUUUUUCAUAAUACCCAAGUAGGAAUAAAAUAAAUUUUCCUAAGUGGAGGAAUAGGAAUCUAUCUCUGCCUGAUUGGAUAUUUCAGUAAAAUGGUUCCAAAGAUCAUUGCUACAGUCAGUCUUUUAAUUUAUGACUAGAAAAUAAGUAAUAGUGGAAGGUAUAUAAGCACAACUAGAAAAAGGUAAAAGGAUUUAGACCAGAACAGGAACAAAAUUUUUCAAGGAACUGAGACAUCAAAAGAAGCCUCAGGCAUUCUAGCUCUUCUCAGCCAAGGAAAAUUUGCUGUUUGUUGAAUCUUGCUUCUCUUAUGUGUGUAUAAAGAAAAAUGUGCCACUAGUUCAGCCAUUGAAAUAUAUAUUCACUGGACUUAGAGUUAUCAGUUGCAGAGUCCUCACUCUAUGGCCUCCUGGAGCACAUGGAAUUUUCUUUGUAACACUAUGCUUUUGAAAAUUACAGGAGUAGAAGAUUAAUACAAUUAUAAAGCCCAGGUAAUUUCUUCCCAUGCCCACCAUACUGUAGAGCAUUAUGUGCUGCACAACUGAUGGUCACAGUGGAAACUAUUGAUUCCAGCUUUACUUUGUUUUUUACCUGUAGGUCAACUGGCUUGAAUCAUGGCAAAUUUGCUACCUUAAAGUUAUUUACAAUGUUUAAUAUAAACCACAUCAACCCAUAGCAUAAACAAGAAAUGAAGCUAUAAACAAUUUGUGAUAUUUCAGUGAACAAAAAUAUUAAGAAAUAAAUAUUUUCUUGGAAUGUAUGUAGAAUGCAUGCUCUAUGUUUUCAAUCCUAAUUUCAGCUUCUGAUGAGAUGAAUGAAAUAUUCACAUCCCAGCUGCUUCUGAAUGUUCUAAGUGGAAUUUCUUGGAGCAGUGUGAGCAGGUGGUGUUCCCACACAGCUCCAAAUAAAGUUUAUACGUGCUAGGGAGGCUGGAUGCCUUGCAAACAUGGAUUCCAAAAACUAGUUUUUUUCUAAUGCACAUGCUUGGUCAUUUUGUCAUAUGGCUGAGAGAUCUUCCCAUGGACAAGGGCACUGGUAUGGAAAUGUUGUCUGGAGCCUUUCCUUCUUCCAAGCCUUAGGCCAUAGUUUUCUGUACCUGAGCCAUGCUCUUCUCUAAGCUGCAUGCAUUUUAGUAAGUAGAUUGUUUCAAGACUUUUCACAAUUUUUUGUAUUGUACUCUUUUGUACUUUUUUGUACUCUUUUUGUACUUUUUUGUACUCUUGCGCCAAGAGUGUUAUACAGAGUAGGACAUGAAGUUAGGGAGGAUAUCUGAGACUACCAGGUUUGUUGGGACACUCCAGAAAAGUAGGUCUUGUAGGGUUGGGGUGCGGGGGUUGGAGGCUGUGAUGCAGUGGGGUAAACCAGUUUAAUCACAGCUCAAAUCUGGUUUCUGUAUAAAGACAAAAUGAUGAUGUGCUAUAGCCCAUACCCCAGUCCCACAUAUCCCCAACAGGAAAUAAUUUUGUCUGCUCUGAAUUGGAGCCCAACUCAAAAUUAAUUGUCAUGCAGCACACAAGGUAGGGAUUUGACACCUAGGAGACACAUUGAAUGUAAGUACUCACAAAAACGUCACCUUUAGCAAGUUAGCCCAAUCUUUGACUUUCCUAUGCUACUCCUUGAGAACACAAUCUCCUGUAAAGAGAGAUUCACAGCUACUCAAACACCUGAUCUGAACUGCACCUUAGAGGACUCUUCUGGCUACAGAGGGAACCUAGGAAACUCAGCUUCACAAGAUUGGAGUCAGCUUUUGUGACUUUUCAUUUCUCUGUGAUCCAUUUUGACUUUGAUUUUUAUUUUUUUUAAAAUAGCUCAGCAACAGAGCCUGUAUUUCCCAUGUUGUGUUGCAGGCACUUUUCGUUUUCUCUAGUCUGUUAUUUCAAGACUGUUUAAGACUCUGCCAGCUGGCUACCAUCCUAUGCUCGUGGAAUCAUGCAAGGGAGUACAAAAGGGCAUAAGAAAGUUAUGUUUUGUCCUUUUUGUCUUACCAAAAUCAUAGUAUUCUUCUAAGUAGAGGACAAAAAAUGAAGCAAUAGGACAAAAACUUCACUUUGGGCUAGAUAGAAAGCCUCAGUCUGGAGAAAUUUUGCUGUGGUGAGUUGUACUGCUGUCGAUUUCUUCUGUUUUAUGAAAGUGAUGUGAAAAACUUUUUAACUGAUCCAAACAUGUGUCUUUUAAUCCCCAGUGUGAAAACUCCAUCUAACAUAACUUUUAACCUUGCAAGUUGUUUCACCAGCCAUGUGGAUGCAGUGCCAUUUUCAGUGUCAGCACUUGAUGCUUUGACAACAAUGGUGUUGGACUUCCAGAGCCCAAAUCAGGAGUUUCUUCUUGAGAAGUCUCACUUUAUCCUUUCAUUAUAACUUUUGCUAUGCUACUGUUUGGCAGUGGGGGUUAGGAGAUUCAUCACCUAAAGGAAUAGAGCCAAAUAUUUGCUUUGAAUGAUUACAGCUAAGAUGUCCUUCCACAGCUGUGUGCCUAGAUUAUUGUGUACUCCUUGCUUAUGAACACUGAACAUAUUUCAUAAACAGAAAAUAUACUGUCCUGGUAUUCUAAAAAAAUAAUGUACAUUCACAAAUUAGCUUUUAUGCUGUAUUUCUCUGAUAUAAAUAAUAAAACACUCUUUUCCA